rnacentral:rRNA from 1 species
CCUACACAUGCAAUCGAACGGUAACAGAAUGCAGCUUGCUAUUCGCUGACGAGUGGCGGACGGGUGAGUAAUGUCUGGGAAACUGCCUGAUGGAGGGGGAUAACUACUGGAAACGGUAGCUAAUACCGCAUAACGUCGCAAGACCAAAGAGGGGGACCUUCGGGCCUCUUGCCAUCGGAUGUGCCCAGAUGGGAUUAGCUAGUAGGUGGGGUAACGGCUCACCUAGGCGACGAUCCCUAGCUGGUCUGAGAGGAUGACCAGCCACACUGGAACUGAGACACGGUCCAGACUCCUACGGGAGGCAGCAGUGGGGAAUAUUGCACAAUGGGCGCAAGCCUGAUGCAGCCAUGCCGCGUGUAUGAAGAAGGCCUUCGGGUUGUAAAGUACUUUCAGCGGGGAGGAAGGGAGUAAAGUUAAUACCUUUGCUCAUUGACGUUACCCGCAGAAGAAGCACCGGCUAACUCCGUGCCAGCAGCCGCGGUAAUACGGAGGGUGCAAGCGUUAAUCGGAAUUACUGGGCGUAAAGCGCACGCAGGCGGUUUGUUAAGUCAGAUGUGAAAUCCCCGGGCUCAACCUGGGAACUGCAUCUGAUACUGGCAAGCUUGAGUCUCGUAGAGGGGGGUAGAAUUCCAGGUGUAGCGGUGAAAUGCGUAGAGAUCUGGAGAAUACCGGUGGCGAAGGCGGCCCCCUGGACCAAGACUGACGCUCAUGUGCGAAAGCGUGCGGAGCAGACGGGAUUAUAUACCCUGGUAGUCCACGCCAUAUACGAUGUCUACUUGGAGGUUGUGCCUUGAUGCGUGCUUCCGAGCUAACGCGUUGACUCUACGCCUGGGGAGCACAGCCGAGGUGAAACUCAAAUGAAUGAAGGACCGCAGAGCGGUGUAGCAAUAUUCGAUGCAGCCUACCUGCUGACUAGCGCUGA